GGAUAACGUUUGGAAACGAGCGCUAAUACCGCAUGACAUUAUCUUAUCGCAUGGUAGGAUAAUCAAAGGAGCAAUCCGCUGAAAGAUGGGCUCGCGUCCGAUUAGGUAGUUGGUGGGGUAACGGCCCACCAAGCCGACGAUCGGUAGCCGGACUGAGAGGUUGGACGGCCACAUUGGGACUGAGACACGGCCCAGACUCCUACGGGAGGCAGCAGUAAGGGAUAUUGGUCAAUGGGGGAAACCCUGAACCAGCAACGCCGCGUGAGGGAAGACGGUUUUCGGAUUGUAAACCUCUGUCCUCUGUGAAGAUGAUGACGGUAGCAGAGGAGGAAGCUCCGGCUAACUACGUGCCAGCAGCCGCGGUAAUACGUAGGGAGCGAGCGUUGUCCGGAUUUACUGGGUGUAAAGGGUGCGUAGGCGGCUUGGCAAGUCAGUAGUGAAAUCCAUGGGCUUAACCCAUGAACUGCUAUUGAAACUGUCGAGCUUGAGUGAAGUAGAGGUAGGCGGAAUUCCCGGUGUAGCGGUGAAAUGCGUAGAGAUCGGGAGGAACACCAGUGGCGAAGGCGGCCUACUGGGCUUUAACUGACGCUGAGGCACGAAAGCGUGGGUAGCAAACAAGAUUAGAUACCCUGGUAGUCCACGCUGUAAACGAUGAGUAAUAGGUGUCGGGGGGGCAAAGCCCCUCGGU
rnacentral:rRNA from 1 species